rnacentral:rRNA from 1 species
UACGUAGGGGGCAAGCGUUGUCCGGAAUCAUUGGGCGUAAAGAGCGUGUAGGCGGCUCGAUAAGUCCGCUGUGAAAGUCCAGGGCUCAACCCUGGAAGGCCGGUGGAAACUGUCGGGCUAGAGUCCGGAAGAGGCGAGUGGAAUUCCUGGUGUAGCGGUGAAAUGCGCAGAUAUCAGGAAGAACACCCGUGGCGAAGGCGGCUCUCUGGGACGGUACUGACGCUGAGACGCGAAAGCGUGGGGAGCGAACAGG